AGUGAACGCUGGCGGCAUGCUUAACACACGCAAGUCGCACGCCCCGCAAGGGGAGUGGCGGACGGGUGAGUAACGCGUAGGAAUGUGUCCAGAGGUGGGGGACAACCCCGGGAAACUGGGGCUAAUACCGCAUAUGUCCUGAGGGACAAAGCAGUAAUGCGCCUUUGGAGCAGCCUGCGUCCGAUUAGGUAGUUGGUGGGGUAAUGGCCUACCAAGCCUGCGAUCGGUAGCUGGUCUGAGAGGAUGAUCAGCCACACUGGGACUGAGACACGGCCCAGACUCCUACGGGAGGCAGCAGUGGGGAAUAUUGGACAAUGGGCGCAAGCCUGAUCCAGCAAUGCCGCGUGGGUGAAGAAGGUCUUCGGAUCGUAAAGCCCUUUCGACAGGGACGAUGAUGACGGUACCUGUAGAAGAAGCCCCGGCUAACUUCGUGCCAGCCGCCGCAGUAAAAC
rnacentral:rRNA from 1 species